CCUACGGGUGGCUGCAGUGGGGAAUAUUGGACAAUGGGCGAAAGCCUGAUCCAGCCAUGCCGCGUGUGUGAAGAAGGCCUUCGGGUUGUAAAGCACUUUCAGUGGGGAAGAAAGCCUUGGGGCUAAUACCCUCGAGGAAGGACAUCACCCACAGAAGAAGCACCGGCUAACUCCGUGCCAGCAGCCGCGGUAAUACGGAGGGUGCGAGCGUUAAUCGGAAUUACUGGGCGUAAAGCGCGCGUAGGCGGUCUGAUAAGCCGGUUGUGAAAGCCCCGGGCUCAACCUGGGAACGGCAUCCGGAACUGUCAGGCUAGAGUGCAGGAGAGGAAGGGAGAAUUCCCGGUGUAGCGGUGAAAUGCGUAGAGAUCGGGAGGAAUACCAGUGGCGAAGGCGGCCUUCUGGACUGACACUGACGCUGAGGUGCGAAAGCGUGGGUAGCAAACAGGAUUAGAUACCCCUGUAGUC
rnacentral:rRNA from 1 species